UUCUCCCUUCCCAGUAAACUGCAUCUGCUGCUUGCUCAUGCUGCAGCUUUAUGUAGGGAUGGGCUCUCUCUGGCCUUUUGGCAUGCCAUGGGUUCAGCCUGGUCCCCAGGAUCAUGCAAAGUACAAGCCUGAGCCUCGAUGCAAAGAGCAUGAGGGGGAAACAAAAGGACCGACUUUUUGAUUAAUUAGAGGAGAAUGCUUGGAAGCUGUGGUGCUAAGUGAGUAUAAAGCAGUGAUAUUCACAAACUAGACAGCAAACUAAAGUGGACAGAGAAGUUGGACAAAUGGUGUGUGCCUUAUUCUUAUCAGAAGUGUGCAGGCCUUUAAGGUGUGGAUUUGCCUGUGGAAGGAUUUCUCUCGAGUACCAUAAACAAGCAGAGAACGAGAACCAUGACCUUGUAUAUGCCGGAGAGGUGCCUUGAGAGCGCCCUGUGGGUUUUCCCCUUAUGAUUGUACCUCUCAUGUCACCUCAAAGGAGACUCUCUUUCCUUGCACGUGGGCUGCCCAGCACAUCCAGCAGGCAGUUAACCUAAUUAUGCAGCAAGGCAAGCAGGAAUGAAAGAACCCAUGCUGCUGCAAGGAGGGAUCAUUGCUGGGCUAAUCAGAGCCUGCCAUGCUCAAUGCUGCUGCCAGUGUGCCUUUUGGGGGGACAGGAGAUGGGGUGGCUGCAAGUCACAAGCCACACCAGCAGCCCUGAUGAGUCCUGUGGAAAUGUAACCUCCUGUCUCACACGGCUGCAGGUUCACCAUGGGGGCUGCUUUGCAGUGCCGGAGGCUCUUUCCAUAGGCACCAUCUCAAAAUGACCCCACAGGUCUUAUCAGUAACUUACAGCAGAUUUUUCUGAGAAAGCAUCUCAGCUGGGAGUGCUGUCCAGUCAUCCCAGCUUCCCCACGGAUGGACUAAACUGGCAUUAUUCAGGAGAAUCUGGAGGAACAGCAUUGAUUUAACCAGCUGAAAGGUUUUAUUGUGUCAAUCAUGUAGCAAUAGCCUACAGCUAUGAAAUUCACAGACACCUCAGCAGACGUCCAUGUUUCUUCCAUGUUUUCAUAAGACCAUUUUCUUAGUUUUCCCAGAAAUUUUAAUCCACUAUCUUUCUAAAAUCUUAUGGCUUUUCCUGCGAACUUGGCCUGCUGUUUUUCCUUCUGGGUCUCUGCUCACCAUUAUGUCAUUCUCGGUACACAUCCAGCUGGACACUUUGCAGCUAUGUGCUUUCCAGAGGCUUCCAAAUGUGCAUUAAAGCUGUUAAUUUAAUUUUACUUCACUCUUAGUCUGCUUCAUCAUGAGCACAAGGACGUCUUUCACCUGGCUGAAAAGCAAAUUGUUCAUGAGCGCCGUCCUUUGCCCUGAAUUGGCAAUAGAUUAUAGAUUGCUGGUUCUGGUGUUGACCCUUUAGGCAAGCCAGAAAGUUGGCUAGAUAUUACUACACAGUAAA